GAACAAACAAAAUUGUGGACAGGCCUAAAUAAGGACAACUAUAGACACGCAAGUUGCCGCUGUCCCCUUGCUUCAAGUAGCUAUUAUAUUAACCCACAUUUCUAAAGCCAAAGAACAUUUUUAAGGUUUCACACUGAUGCAAACAUAGAAUGAUCAGGAGCAUCUGCACAAAUUUACAGCUUUUAAUGGAGCAGGUGACAGGCCAGCAAAGAAAUUGUGGAAACUGAAAGAGGCGAGUCUUAAUAUCUGCGAUGGACAUUGUCAUUACUUAGGGUGGGAGACGCUGAAAUGAAAUCUACGGAUCCUUUCCUGGCGGGACAAUGAGCUGCCCAAUGGAAUUGUAACCCUCUCCUAAUCUCCGCGGCAGAAACCAUGCUAAUAAGGGGCUCUCUCGCCCAAACCUGUCACCUUGGAGCGCCACCUUGCCGCUGAAAGGCAAACUGCAAGUCCAGAAGAUCUUGAGGCUGGUGCUAUUUGCAACUCUCUCUCUCUCUCUCUCUCUCUCUCUCUCUCUCUCUCUCUCUCUCUCUCUCUCUCUCUCUCUCUCUCUCUCAUAAUCAAAGAGACCUAAUAGAAUCGGACACUUGAAAGUGCCCCUUUCGCUCGGAGUUGAAGAGACAUUGUAUCUUUCCUGGCUAUCUCCUGUAGUAUCAGAAUGUGUGGGUGUAUGUGUGAAGAAGCUGAGGUGGGGUGGGGGGGGGAGAGAAGAAACGCAAAACCAACCUUGGGUGUACGGUUUCUCAAAGACUUACAAGUUGUAACCUAACCGGCAAUGUUUGAAUUUAAGCUAUACAAUAACGGAUAGAUUUUCACACCUCGCCUAUAAUUUAAAACCCCGGUAUUCAUUCAUUUAUUUAUUUUUUAAAGUUUGGAGGUAACCCAAACGCACCCUUAUGAGUCAAUGGAAAGGAAAGCUAUCGAGUAACGCCAAGGGGGGGGGCGGGAAAUGCUCAGAGGAAAAUCAAACCAAGGCAGAGACUCAACCGCCAUUGGCGAGGGGAUUAUGUUCAUAUUUUAAUUCUUGGCCACAAUGGCGGACAUUUCAGUUUUUCACACACACAGAGGCAGAAACCAAAACGUUUGCCUAGUCAAAUCAAGGACAAGUUCUAAAUCAGUGAUUAUUCUCUAUCUGCCUGUCGAUCGCAAUCUCUCCCUUUUAAAGAAUCAGACAUACACUUUAGCAAAUAAACUGAGAUAUUUUAAAAACAAUCUGUUUGAGAUAAAUAACAGUAUUUUUAAAACAGUGUCUGAGGGCCAGUACAAACUUGGGAGAAAAUAUAUUUAUGAUCAUCA